AAUUUUGGAGUGAUCUUCAAGUAAAGAACAAUAUAAAGUCAACUAGAGAGGCCCUUAAGUUAUAGAGUUUACUUAUUAUUUAAAUAUAUUUUGUAAAACAAAUAAAUUUAUAUUGCUAUUAAUAACACAUUUUAUUUAUGAUAAGAUCAACACAACAUGCUAGAUCAAGUGAUAAAGGAUGUUAUUCUAUAAAAGCUUUAUCAUGUUUAGUAUAUGAAUAGCAUGAUAUGAGAUGAAUUGUUACUCUAGUUAUAGACCCUGUAUCAUAUAUCAGAACCAAAAACUAAAAGUCUUGACACUUUAGUUUAAAAUGUACCAUGGCAACAAUCGAGGAGAAGCAAGACGACUGUGGUUUACUACCCCAGGGAGACUUUCAAACCACUGGAAAAAGCUAUGGCCUGUGGAUGAUAUCAUUGAAGCAAUUGUGGCAAUGCGUUGGGUGAGGAGUGAUGGUCCCUCAAGAUGAAACACUGAUGGGGACCAAACCAAAGGCAGUCACUCUCCUUGUCUCACAGAAAGGAAAAGCUACUUAGGAAGCUUUAGCAGUUGGAGUAGUACAUUCCCUUCUUCCUCCAGAAUUGGGCCACAAGAGCUCUCAGUUUGCAGAGGUGCAGUGGUGUUUGCCCUAAACAACAGUAACUCUGUGGAGAUUUCCAACAAAGCAAGUUGCCAAAUUACUGCAACUUUCAGAUGUCUGUAUGUCAAGAACACAUUGGUUGGGUAAAUGGUAGGCCCUUAAUUUAAUUCAACUUUUCAGUUGUCUGAGACUAGUUUGCUUAUCAUGAGAUUAAGUAUUGGCAACUUACUUCAACAAUCAGUUACGAAUAGCAUGGAAAAACAAAGCAAAGAUACCUUAACUGUCCUUGGUUGGUGCUUAACUGAUUCCUGCCUCUUGAAAUUUCAGAUUGUCAUGAUGCUUCCAAUUUGCUUUGCGGGUUGGUGUCUGGGCUUUUGUACUGAAUACCAGAGCACUCAGAUCUUGUAGCAACCAUUAGGUGGUUAUAUGUUGUAUCGAUCCAUUAAAAAUUCCAAGGAUCUACUUUUAUUUUGAUGAGAAAACCAUCAAUCUCACUUUCAAAUCCUGUGAAAAUUUUGGCGCUCGCUGUCUUUUGAGAUUUAACUCAGCUGAAGCAAAUGACUCAGGGUGGCAAGCUCUGUGUAUCAAUCUCUGUUGUGUGUUUUUCGAAUGUUGAAGCUGAAGUCGAAGCCAAGACUCAAUGGACUUAACCAGCCUAAAUGCUUCCAAUGUGCCAUUGUUGCUCGUUCAAGCUAUAGCUCUCAGAUUUUCCAUCUUCAGAGCUGUCUCCAUGCAGGCCUGAAUGCAGUGGACUCAUCAGAGAAAUAGAUUGCGAGACACUAUGAUGCGAUGAAUUAGUGUAUUGUUCUUCGGGUAUCCGUAAGCCUCCAUCAAUUGCUCUGCUUGUUUUUUGAGUGUGCAAUCUGUAUUUCUGUGUAACAAUGAUGAUACAGCUGGAUUAGGAUUAGUAAGAUGAAACUACAUGUGGAAAUUGGAAAGAAGAAUCCACCUGCAAAUGGCUCUUCACUUCAUCAUUUAUAGAAGAUGAACAAAUCGACCAAUUUCCUUUCUCCACAUGAGCAAAAUAGUAAUUCUGAAGUAUAGACAGCAAUAAGAGCUUCAUUCAACUGAGGUCUUACCAUGUGCACCACCGAGCUCCUCGGUCGCGAGCACAAACCGCCGAUGCAGCUCCUGAGACCAGCACCUCCUCAUCUUCCUAGGCUGCUUCUGUUGCAGAUGCAAGCCACAGUGUGUGCCAGGUGCUGCCGCCAGAGAUGCUUCCAGGGAUUCUUUAGUACACUUAUGGUAACUAACUGGAUGGUUCUUGACGGCCGGAGUCACAUAACCAUGAGUGAUCGUGGUAGAGCACAGAGAGAGGUCAGACAACACAGCGGCAGACUCAUCGUCCUCCUUGGAGCUGUAUAGUUCCAAUACCGGCAGGGACGUGUCUCCGCCGUUCCGAGAAUCGAAUACUGAUUUCUGCAAUCAGAACCAAAGGAAUCCAUUUAAGAUAAAAAAUACUCCGAGAAGUGAACAAAGAUUCAUUUUUUCCCCAAAUAAAUGACAAAGAAUUAUGUAUUUCUAACCUCUUUAAAGUUCAUCUUAUCAUGUUUCUGGUCAUCUUUACUUUCCUCGCAGAUCCAGAGUUGGAACGAGCUCGUCCAGUUCUUCUUAUCUCUGAAAUCCGAGCUACUCUCGUGGAUUUUACCCUUAAUCGGCAUGAAUUCCUGGAACACACGCCCGAAACCCUCGGCGCGGCACCGAUCGAUCUCCCUCUUCAACUCCUCGAUCACUGCGAUCGAAAUUCCCAAACAAAAGAACCCUAAUUUUAACCUACAAGGAUCCUAGCGAAAUCAAAUAAAGGAAGGGCAGAAGGGAGGAGCAUCGGACCGACCCUCGCAGACGAGGCGCAUGCAGAGAGGGAGCUCGCGCUUGAAAGCUUCGAUCUUGCGCUUCUCCUCCUCCAAACUCUUGAUGGACUCCUCCAGCCACGACACCUGCCGCCCUCUCUCCCUGCUCUCCGUCACCGCCUUCUUCACGAACCCGACCGCGACGGCCCGCAUAGCAGACAGGUCAAACUCCGAUCCCAUCUCCACCACUGCCGAACCCAUCAUCGCCGCCUCCGUCUCCGUCUCCGUCUCCGUCUCGAUGGGAUGUAACGAUGGAGAAGACGAGAAAGAGGGCGAUUGAUUUAUAGACGAACCGGUCCGGUCCGACCAAUCGAGCCAAGAUUCGCGGCGACUCGUCGCCGCGUAGCGCGACGCUCUGAGAUCUCGCGGCGCCGAGAUGCCGCUUCUCAGCUCUCCGGAUUUGGAAUCUUUGUGUCCUAUUUAGCAUUUUUAAAUAUAUUUUUGGUUAUGAUUAUUUUAAGUGAUUAUUUA